rnacentral:rRNA from 1 species
AGGACGAACGCUGGCGGCGUGCUUAACACAUGCAAGUCGAGCGGAAAGGCCUUUCGGGGUACUCGAGCGGCGAACGGGUGAGUAACACGUGAGUAAUCUGCCCAUCGCUUCAGGAUAGCCAUCGGAAACGGUGAUUAAUACUGGAUAUGACAUUUCUUCGCAUGUUGGGGUGUGGAAAGUUUUUUCGGCGGUGGAUGUGCUCGCGGCCUAUCAGCUUGUGUGGGUAAUGGCCUACAAGCUUUGACGGUA